rnacentral:piRNA from 2 species
UGAAAUUGUUCGUGAAGCGCCCUGG